rnacentral:rRNA from 1 species
AGAGUUUGAUCCUGGCUCAGAUUGAACGCUGGCGGCAUGCCUUACACAUGCAAGUCGAACGGCAGCGGACCUUCGGGUGCCGGCGAGUGGCGAACGGGUGAGUAAUGUAUCGGAACGUACCUUUCAGUGGGGGAUAACGUAGCGAAAGUUACGCUAAUACCGCAUAUUCUGUGCGCAGGAAAGCAGGGGAUCGCAAGACCUUGCGCUGAUUGAGCGGCCGAUAUCAGAUUAGCUAGUUGGUGAGGUAAAGGCUCACCAAGGCGACGAUCUGUAGCGGGUCUGAGAGGAUGAUCCGCCACACUGGAACUGAGACACGGUCCAGACUCCUACGGGAGGCAGCAGUGGGGAAUUUUGGACAAUGGGGGCAACCCUGAUCCAGCCAUGCCGCGUGAGUGGAGAAGGCCUUCGGGUUGUAAAGCUCUUUCGGCCGGGAAGAAAUCGCAUGGGUUAAUACCCUGUGCGGAUGACGGUACCGGCAUAA